GAUGAACGCUAGCGGCAGGCUUAAUACAUGCAAGUCGAGGGACAGCACAGGUAGCAAUACUGGGUGGUAACCGGCAAACGGGUGCGGAACACGUACACAACCUUCCUUUAAGUGGGGGAUAGCCCAGAGAAAUUUGGAUUAAUACCCCGUAAUAUAGUUGAAUGGCAUCAUUUGAUUAUUAUAGCUACGGCGCUUAAUGAUGGGUGUGCGGCUGAUUAGAUAGUUGGCGGGGUAACGGCCCACCAAGUCUACGAUCAGCAGCUGAUGUGAGAGCAUGAUCAGCCACACGGGCACUGAGACACGGGCCCGACUCCUACGGGAGGCAGCAGUAAGGAAUAUUGGUCAAUGGACGCAAGUCUGAACCAGCCAUGCCGCGUGAAGGAUUAAGGUCCUCUGGAUUGUAAACUUCUUUUAUUUGGGACGAAAAAGGGCCUUUCUAGGUCAACUGACGGUACCAGAUGAAUAAGCACCGGCUAACUCUGUGCCAGCCGCCGCGGUAAAAC
rnacentral:rRNA from 1 species